AGUGGACGCUGGCGGUAGGCCUAACACAUGCAAGUCGAACGGCAGCACAGUAAGUUCUUGCUCUUAGCGGUUGCGAGUCGCGGACGGGUUACGUCUACACCUGACUCUACUUUUUCGUGAGGGAUAACGUAGGCGGACUUAUGCUACUACCGCAUACCACCUACGAGUGAAAGCAGUGCAUCUUCCGACCUUGCGCGUUUGCAUGAGGCGAUGUCGGAUUAGCUAGUUGGAGGGGUAAAGGCCCACCAAGGCGACGAUCCGUAGCUGGUCUGAGAGGAUGAUCAGCCACACUGGAACUGAGACACGGCCCAGACUCCUACGGGAGGCAGCAGUGGGGAAUAUUGGACAAUGGGCGCAAGCCUGAUCCAGCCAUACCGCGUGUGUGAAGAAGGCCUUCGGGUUGUAAAGCCCUCUUGUCCGGAAAGAAAAGCAUCACUCUAAUACACCCCUGUUCUGACGGUACCCAAAGAAUAAGCACCGGCUAACUACGUG
rnacentral:rRNA from 1 species